rnacentral:rRNA from 1 species
GCUCAAAUUUGAAAUCUGGCCUCUUCGGGGUCCGAGUUGUAAUUUGUAGAGGGUGUUUCGGGCGCGAUGCCGGUCUAAGUUCCUUGGAACAGGACGUCGCAGAGGGUGAGAAUCCCGUACGCGACCGGCGAUCAAGCCUGUGUGAAGCCCCUUCGACGAGUCGAGUUGUUUGGGAAUGCAGCUCAAAAUGGGUGGUAAAUUUCAUCUAAAGCUAAAUAUUGGCCAGAGACCGAUAGCGGACAAGUAGAGUGAUCGAAAGAUGAAAAGCACUUUGGAAAGAGAGUCAAACAGUACGUGAAAUUGUUGAAAGGGAAGCGCUUGCAAUCAGACCGGUCCGGAGGCGAUCAGCCGCUGCUCGUUCAGCGGUGCACUCGCCUGCGAUCCGGCCAGCAUCGGUUUGGGCGGUGGGAUAAAAGUCCCGGGAAUGUAGCUUCUCUCGGGGAGUCUUAUAGCCCGGGUCGCAAUGCCGCCCGCCUGGACCGAGGACCGCGCUUCGGCUAGGAUGCUGGCGUAAUGGUUGCAAGCG